rnacentral:rRNA from 1 species
ACGAACGCUGGCGGCGUGCCUCAUACAUGCAAGUUGAGCGCUGAAGGUUGGUACUUGUACCAACUGGAUGAGCAGCGAACGGGUGAGUAACGCGUGGGGAAUCUGCCUUUGAGCGGGGGACAACAUUUGGAAACGAAUGCUAAUACCGCAUAAAAACUUUAAACACAAGUUUUAAGUUUGAAAGAUGCAAUUGCAUCACUCAAAGAGGAUCCCGCGUUGUAUUAGCUAGUUGGUGAGGUAAAGGCUCACCAAGGCGAUGAUACAUAGCCGACCUGAGAGGGUGAUCGGCCACAUUGGGACUGGGACACGGCCCACACUCCUGCGGGAGGCAGCAGUAGGGAAUCUUCGGCAAUGGCCGAAAGUCUGACCGAGCAACGCCGCGUGAGUGAAGAAGGUUUUCGGAUCGUAAAACUCUGUUGGUAGAGAAGAACGUUGGUGAGAGUGGAAAGCUCAUCAAGUGACGGUAACUACCCAGAAAGGGCCGGCUAACUACGUG